rnacentral:rRNA from 1 species
UACGGAGGAUGCGAGCGUAAUCCGGAUUUAUUGGGUUUAAAGGGUGCGUAGGCGGGAUGCCAAGUCAGCGGUAAAAAUGCGGUGCUCAACGCCGUCGAGCCGUUGAAACUGGCGUUCUUGAGUGGGCGAGAAGUAUGCGGAAUGCGUGGUGUAGCGGUGAAAUGCAUAGAUAUCACGCAGAACUCCGAUUGCGAAGGCAGCAUACCGGCGCCCUACUGACGCUGAGGCACGAAAGCGUGGGUAUCGAACAGG